rnacentral:rRNA from 1 species
AUUGAACGCUGGCGGCGUGCUUAACACAUGCAAGUCGAACGAAGUGGCGAACGGGUGAGUAACGCGUAAUCCACCUGCCCUUCAGAGGGGGACAACAGUUGGAAACGACUUCUAAUACCGCAUACUGAAGAUGGGGAUUGCGUCUGAUUAGCGAGUUGGAGGGGUAACGGCGCACCAAGGCGAUGAUCAGUAGCCGGUCUGAGAGGACGAACGGCCACAUUGGGACUGAUACACGGCCCAGAAUCCUACGGGAGGCAGCAGGGGGGAAUCUUGCGCAAUGGAAGAAAGUCUGACGGAGCAACGCCGCGUGAGUGAUGAUGGCCUUCGGGUUGUAAAGCGCUGUUAAUCGGGACGCGGUACCGGAAUAGAAAGCCACGGCUAACUACGUGCCAGCAGCCGCGGUAAUUC